ACCAACUAAUAAUGUGGGCUAUAAAUAGUAACUUUGAAGCCUGCAAUAGAAGUCUUUGCCUCUGCGCACAAAAGACCACCCUUAUUUUCCUGCAUCUUUCUUUCUCGCAUUUACUGCUUUCCCUAGGAGUAGUUCCUGUAACUUAGAUCUUUGGAGUCUGUCUGCCCCAUGGGCAUCACUCCCUUAUAGAAUAUAUUUGGAGUCUGUCUGCCCCAUGGGCAUCACUCCCUUGUAGAAUAUACUUGGAGUCUGUCUGCCCUACAGGCAUCACUCCCAUGUUCUUGUACUU
rnacentral:lncRNA from 1 species